rnacentral:rRNA from 1 species
GAUGAACGCUGGCGGCGUGCCUAAUACAUGCAAGUCGAGCGAACGGACGAGAAGCUUGCUUCUCUGAUGUUAGCGGCGGACGGGUGAGUAACACGUGGAUAACCUACCUAUAAGACUGGGAUAACUUCGGGAAACCGGAGCUAAUACCGGAUAAUAUUUUGAACCGCAUGGUUCAAAAGUGAAAGACGGUCUUGCUGUCACUUAUAGAUGGAUCCGCGCUGCAUUAGCUAGUUGGUAAGGUAACGGCUUACCAAGGCAACGAUGCAUAGCCGACCUGAGAGGGUGAUCGGCCACACUGGAACUGAGACACGGUCCAGACUCCUACGGGAGGCAGCAGUAGGGAAUCUUCCGCAAUGGGCGAAAGCCUGACGGAGCAACGCCGCGUGAGUGAUGAAGGUCUUCGGAUCGUAAAACUCUGUUAUUAGGGAAGAACAUAUGUGUAAGUAACUGUGCACAUCUUGACGGUACCUAAUCAGAACGCCACGGCUAACUACGUG